AGGCCAGUGGCUCAGCUGGUUAGAGCGCCGGUCUCCAAAACCGGAUGUCGUAGGUUCGAAUCCUACCUGGCCUG
rnacentral:tRNA from 1 species